AGAAAAGCUGUAUCACGAUAUCAGCAUGAUGAGUGUGAAGGCGAAAUUAGCAUAGAAGUUUUUUGUGGCAGCAUUUUCAGAACCCAGAGUGAAGGACAAGUGAAAGAUAUGCAAGCAACAUUUCUAAACGCACCUGCAUUGUUUUGCAUUUUGUGACUUUCAGUCGAAUAAAAGACAAUUUUUCCAGAGAUUUUUCCUCAUUGAAGGUUUCUAAAAAUUAGUGUCAGUAGUGAAAAUACUGUCUCAAUUUCGUGUAUCUUGUCUAGUUUUUACCUGUUGUUGAGGAAGGCUAGAGCUGUGAUACCAGAGACUCCAUCUUCAUUACUGCAGCGCAACGAUCCUUCCGCUGCAUCCCACAACUGUAACCAGACUGUGACUAACAUUCUUUAAACAACACAACAUUAAGCAUGUGGAGGUAGGAAGCAUAUCCAAUACAGAAGCAGAUAAGGCAUGUGAAUACAGAAAGCAUCUUUUCCGAGUUCCAUUACAGUUUUACACACCUCCAGUUUACCGCUGCUCCUCCCAGCAGCUAUCAGAUUUCCUCUCAGCUCCAUGGCCCAGACAGAGCUUUCCCAGUCUGCUGUCGCCUGCGUUGAUGUGGAAGCCUUCUCUUGGGUUAAGAAGACGGCUGCAUCCCCUAAACUUGGUCUUCUCUGGAGCUGAGAUCCUGAGGGUGGCGAGGAGGAGGCAGAGGAAGUAGAGGGGUAUGUGGAGGGUGAGGGGGGCUCGUGCUCCAUGUAGGCGCGCUCCACCAGACCUCCAAAGUCGAA